AGUGAACGCUGGCGGUAGGCCUAACACAUGCAAGUCGAACGGCAGCACAGUAAGAGCUUGCUCUUACGGGUGGCGAGUGGCGGACGGGUGAGGAAUACAUCGGAAUCUACUUUUUCUUGGGGGAUAUCGUAGGGAAACUUACGCUAAUACCGCAUACGACCUACGGGUGAAAGCAGGGGAUCUUCGGACCUUGCGCGAUUGCAUGAGCCGAUGUCGGAUUAGCUAGUUGGCGGGGUAAAGGCCCACCAAGGCGACGAUCCGUAGCUGGUCUGAGAGGAUGAUCAGCCACACUGGAACUGAGACACGGUCCAGACUCCUACGGGAGGCAGCAGUGGGGAAUAUUGGACAAUGGGCGCAAGCCUGAUCCAGCCAUACCGCGUGGGUGAAGAAGGCCUUCGGGUUGUAAAGCCCUUUUGUUGGGAAAGAAAAGCAGCAGGUUAAUACCCCGCUGUUCUGACGGUACCCAAAGAAUAAGCACCGGCUAACUUCGUG
rnacentral:rRNA from 1 species